UACGGGGGGGGCAAGCGUUGUUCGGAAUUACUGGGCGUAAAGGGCUCGUAGGUGGCCAACUAAGUCAGACGUGAAAUCCCUCGGCUUAACCGGGGAACUGCGCCUGAUACUGGAUGGCUUGAGUUUGGGAGAGGGAUGCGGAAUUCCAGGUGUAGCGGUGAAAUGCGUAGAUAUCUGGAGGAACACCGGUGGCGAAGGCGGCGACCUGGGCCAAUACUGACGCUGAGGUGCGAAAGCGUGGGGAGCAAACAGG
rnacentral:rRNA from 1 species